UGAACGCUGGCGGCGUGCCUAAUACAUGCAAGUCGAGCGAACGGACGCGAAGCUUGCUUCUCUGAUGUUAGCGGCGGACGGGUGAGUAACACGUGGAUAACCUACCUAUAAGACUGGGAUAACUUCGGGAAACCGGAGCUAAUACCGGAUAAUAUUUUGAACCGCAUGGUUCAAAAGUGAAAGACGGUCUUGCUGUCACUUAUAGAUGGAUCCGCGCUGCAUUAGCUAGUUGGUAAGGUAACGGCUUACCAAGGCAACGAUGCAUAGCCGACCUGAGAGGGUGAUCGGCCACACUGGAACUGAGACACGGUCCAGACUCCUACGGGAGGCAGCAGUAGGGAAUCUUCCGCAAUGGGCGAAAGCCUGACGGAGCAACGCCGCGUGAGUGAUGAAGGUCUUCGGAUCGUAAAACUCUGUUAUUAGGGAAGAACAUAUGUGUAAGUAACUGUGCACAUCUUGACGGUACCUAAUCAGAAAGCCACGGCUAACUACGUG
rnacentral:rRNA from 1 species